rnacentral:rRNA from 1 species
UGGGGAAUAUUGGACAAUGGGCGCAAGCCUGAUCCAGCCAUGCCGCUUGUGUGAAUAAGGCCUUAUGGUUGUAAAGCACUUUAAUCGAGGAGGAGGCUACUUUAGUUAAUACCUAGAGAUAGUGGACGUUACCGACAGAAUAAGCACCGGCUAACUCUGUGCCAGCAGCCGCGGUAAUACAGAGGGUGCAAGCGUUAAUCGGAAUUACUGGGCGUAAAGCGCUCGUAGGUGGUUCGUUAAGUUGAAUGUGAAAGCCCCGGGCUCAACCUGGGAACUGCAUCCAAAACUGGCGAGCUAGAGUAGGGCAGAGGGUGGUGGAAUUUCCUGUGUAGCGGUGAAAUGCGUAGAUAUAGGAAGGAACACCAGUGGCGAAGGCGACCACCUGGGAUCAUACUGACACUGAGGUGCGAAAGCGUGGGGAGCAAACAGG